UACGGAGGGUGCAAGCGUUAUCCGGAUUCACUGGGUUUAAAGGGUGCGUAGGUGGGUCUGUAAGUCAGUGGUGAAAUCUCCAAGCUUAACUUGGAAACUGCCGUUGAUACUAUAGAUCUUGAAUGUUGUGGAGGUGAGCGGAAUAUGUCAUGUAGCGGUGAAAUGCUUAGAUAUGACAUAGAACACCAAUUGCGAAGGCAGCUCACUACACAAAGAUUGACACUGAGGCACGAAAGCGUGGGGAGCGAACAGG
rnacentral:rRNA from 1 species